rnacentral:rRNA from 1 species
GCCAGACUCCUACGGGAGGCAGCAGUGGGGGAUAUUGCACAAUGGGGGGAACCCUGAUGCAGCGACGCCGCGUGGGUGAAGGAGCGUUUCGGCGCGUAAAGCCCUCUCGGCAGGGAAGAAGGAGGACGGUACCUGACUAAGAAGCCCCGGCUAACUACGUGCCAGCAGCCGCGGUAAUACGUAGGGGGCAAGCGUUAUCCGGAUUUACUGGGUGUAAAGGGGGCGCAGACGGCAGCGCAAGCCAGGAGUGAAAGCCCGGAGCCCAACCCCGGGACUGCUCUUGGAACUGCGCGGCUGGAGUGCAGGAGGGGCAGGCGGAAUUCCUGGUGUAGCGGUGAAAUGCGUAGAUAUCAGGAGGAACACCGGUGGCGAAGACGGCCUGCUGGACGAUGACUGACGUUGAGGCUCGAAAGCGUGGGGAGCAAACAGGAUUAGAUACCCUAGUAU